AUGAGCUCCGCCAAGGCUAAGGCUGCUGCAACAAUCCUGCUCACCUUGGAGAAGCUCUUUAUGCUGGACAUCGCUACUCACAUUGCGAGUGUGGAGCUGUGGGUGCUGGUGACGACAGUGCUAUUGGUGUGGAGGUUCCUCCUCGACUUCUCGGGGCCAUGGUUUGGGAAGCCUAGCAGGAUGUUUACUGUCGUCACCAUGGAGAUACUGAACCAGAACUUGGUGAUGUACACCAUGGGACUGAUGCAGCUAUCGGGCGCGAGGGUGAACGACUACUUCCAGGUGUGGGCGGUUCUGCUGGUCACCCUGCAGUACAGCGUCAAGAUCGGGCGCCCCUACACCAGGUCCAAGCAGGUCCCCUUGCUGGACCUCAUGUCCUCCUUCUGGUCAGCCAAUCUCCUCCGGGUGCAGACCUUUGAGCUCCUCAGGAUCCCCCUCUGGUUGAUCUGGGCGCUUAAUGCAGUUCGAAUCAUCGUGCUCUUCGUCACCUCAAGUAAAGGGGAGACUGAAAACCAAGAGAGCAUGAGGCUGGUGAGCGACUACAUGAGCUAUGAGGACCAUCUCCCUGCUCUUGCUGCUGCAGCUGGUGGUUCUGAUGAUGAGCAGGAGGUGUCAGAAAUGGCAGGGUGCAAGUACCUGGUGCAUGGGGAGCACCGGGUGCUCAAGGAAGUACAAGAGGGCCGGCGGGAGGGAAGAAGAAGACUAUCUUCUUGCUUCAGAAGGGAGAGAAUAAUAAUCGAGUCCAACAGGAGCUACAAGAUUCAGUUGGAUCCAGAUGGUGUCCACAAGGAUCACCUGGUCACCGUGGAGAAGCUAUGGCGUGACACCAGCAAGAGCAGAUUGUUGGGAGGCGCAAGCACAGCAGACCCUGGCAACCAGCGCAAGGACCUGUGCCUCUCGUUCGCGAUGUACAAGCUGCUGCGCCGUCGGUUCUAUGAUCUCCCGGUGCAUGAACUCACUAGGCCGCAGGGGAAAAACAAGAUCCGCAAGCUCGUCAUCGACUACAUCCUUAAGGACUGCGAGAGGGCGUUCCGCAUCACAGGGGUCGAGCUGUCCUUCCUCCAAGACCUCUUCUAUAGCAAGCACGCCGCGGUGUUUGCCGGCGGAGCCAUGGUUCCACUCCGGAGCCUGCUGCUCUCGCUGUCCUUGGCGGCGGCGACGGGAUACAUUGCGUAUCCUGCCCGAUACAUACCCGAGAGGAUGGAUCCAGCAGACCGGAACAGGAUCACACACGGCGUGUUCAUCACACGCCUCAUGGUCGGCAUCAUCGUUCUCAAGGAGCUCUUGGAGAUUUUUCUCUAUGUGCUGUCACGGUGGGCAAAGGUUCUGAUGUUGUGCAAGUACGUCCAGCAUCAGUGCUUGCGGCGUCCGAUGGUGGAGAUGGCAAUGAGGUUCAUGUUGUUUUUCGGCAGCAAAGCCAAAUGGAUUCAGACGGUCAGUCAGCAGAACCUUCUGGUUACAUUCCGUGUGCUAAAGCCAGCAGGUGUGCUGCCUCCGCUCACAUGGAGGAUGGUACUCUGUCGAGGGGAAACUGUUGGAACAACCGCCCUGAAAGAUUACACCAAGAUUGCGAUAUUGGAUACGCUCAAGAAGUUGGAGAAGGAAGGGCUAGCGCUGGAUAACUACUUCUCAAACGCCUUCAGAUCAAAUGAGAAGGUGGUGGAGUGGCCAAGAAACCUCAAGGUAGACACCCACAUCAUACUGGUCUGGCAUAUCGCCACCAGCCUCUGUGAGAUCAACUUCUUCAACACGGUCAAGAAGCUCAGGGCUGUGCAGCGACCGCGGCCUUUCGUCGACGGUCCAAAUGGAAUUCGCAAUAAAAGGAAAAACUAUGAAUCUGUGUGGUCUGAGCAGUAUGCAACUGCAGCCACCUUAUCCAACUAUUGUACGUAUCUGGUCAGCAAGGAUCUGGUGCCGGAUAAUCCCAUUGUUGCCGGAAUGGUCCUUGGUGAGGUAAUCCAAGAAAUUGACCACGUUACAUCCAAAUUCAAUCGCCAGUGGGGGCGUGGCAAGCUACCUUUCAUAUUUGUGUACAAUGGCCUUAUGGAGACAGUCCACAAGCCCUGCGAGAACACUGAUCACCAUCAGAGCUGGGGCUGGGGCCCUGACGUGGAACCAGUAACACCAGAGCAAGUGAGAGAAAAAGAAGACGAUGGAGGCCUCCACAUUGGGUGUUCCAUAACAAGGAUGGGUGCAAUGCUAGGGAAGCACCUGAUAAAGGUGUAUGAAGGCCACGCAGAAGGCCUGUGGAGCGACCUGGCCAACUUCUGGACGGGGUUCCUCCUCCACUUGGCCGCGAACACGAGGGCAGCCACCCACGGGAGGCAUCUUGCCGGCGACAGUGAGCUCAUCACACACCUGUGGGCAUUGGUCUCCCACGCCGGCUUUCGUGGGAACGCCAUCCAUGGCGAAGAGGGGCCAGACCAGGAGGACAUCCCUGAUAUCAACCAGGCAGCCAACCAAUGA
rnacentral:rRNA from 1 species